rnacentral:lncRNA from 1 species
CCCCCCCCUCCGAAGCCUACUGCAACGAAAUUCCCACCGUCCACGGCCCCAAAGCAGCGAUUGCAGACGAUUCCGUCCCCGGAAAGCACCGGGAAGAGGACAAGCUUCCUCGAGUCAGCCAGAGGCAGAAGGAGAACCAGAAGAAUGGGAGGAACCACACCUGAGAAACACCAGUGGAAGAAAAAUAUGGCGAGCUCUUCAAGAAGAGGCGGCGGAAGAGAAAGACGACCUCGUCGUCCAGGCGGAGAGAG